rnacentral:misc_RNA from 1 species
UUAACUAUUUUAUAGUACUCAGACAUCACUAAACACAGAGUUUUGGGCCUCUGGCAGGCGCUAAUCAGCCGAAGCCGACGCCCGAAGGCGGCCUGCCAAAGCAACAAAGGUAGGUAGACACGGUUUUGGGUAUUGAACCCAUUUAAAUCUUGCGACAAAAACGGGGCGUUAUUAAUGAUCCUUCCGCAGGUUCACCUACGGAAA